UACGGGGGGGGCAAGCGUUGUUCGGAAUUACUGGGCGUAAAGGGCUCGUAGGCGGCCAAUUAAGUCGGACGUGAAAUCCCUCGGCUUAACCGGGGAACUGCGUCCGAUACUGGAUGGCUUGAGUUCGGGAGAGGGAUGCGGAAUUCCAGGUGUAGCGGUGAAAUGCGUAGAUAUCUGGAGGAACACCGGUGGCGAAGGCGGCAUCCUGGACCGACACUGACGCUGAGGAGCGAAAGCCAGGGGAGCAAACGGG
rnacentral:rRNA from 1 species